rnacentral:tRNA from 1 species
GAGGGUAUAGCUCAGUGGUAGAGUACUUGCUUAGCAUGCACAAGGUCCUGGGUUCAGUUUCCAGUACCUCCA